rfam:Catenaria anguillulae PL171 BCR44scaffold_22, whole genome shotgun sequence.
GGGAGUGUGGCGCAGUGGUAGCGCGUUCGCUUUGGGUGCGAAAGGCCCCGGGUUCGACCCCCGGCUCUCCCC